CUUUUCAUACUUAUAUUUACAUAUUCAUGAAAAUAUCAAUGUAAUGACCACUUUUUAAUGUGUAAAACAUAGUUCAUGAUAGGCUGCUCAGGUGGUUGUCACUUGAUGCUCCAUGUCUGGCUUUAAGUCUCUUCCAGGACUUGGUAAGAAGCCAGGAGCUGCAUUUCAGCUGGACGGCAGAAGAGGAUGUGACUUGCUGAAGGCUCAUUUGCAGCACCAACUGGAACAUGACACUUAUAAAUUCUCAGACAGAGAAGAGAACUGAUGAGCAGGGCACACCACCAACGAAAAGUGCCAUCUGGGCCAGGAUUGCAGGGGAGAAGGGAAGAGAGAACAAAUGGCAAAUCAAAGGGGAGAAGAUUUAAGAAGGGUUGGGGGUAAGAAACAGAAACAGAAGAAGAGGAAGAGAUCAGAAGCUUGUGGGAAAGAGAAAAGGAAAAAAUAAAAACAAGAACAGAACAGAGCAACAAAAAUGACAAAAAACUAGAAACCAUGUUCAAACAAUCAAGAAAAAAACAAAAACCAAGAAUUAGAAAGGAGGAAAAAAAGAAAGAAAAAAGAAAAGGAAAAGAAAAGAGAACAAACCCCAAAAAUGUCCAAUUCAGGUUGUGUCUCUGGUCACUGUUAGGCAGUAUGGGCAAACAGAGUCCAGAGUCAAACUGAUUAAUCCCAGGAAGCUAGAUGCAGCUUCAUGGUGGGGUUGUAGAUAAUUCCAUCCAUCCUGCCCCUUUAGUUCCUCCAAAGUUCAGGCUGGUUUCUGGUUAUGAGGCUGGAACCAGAUUCCUUGAGCCUACAACAGUCUAUGCGUCUCCUGUCAGCUUGAACUCCGCUCCCUGACCUCCUGCUGACUUGAACUCAGCAUCCACGCUGAGGCACUGCAAACCACUGGAUGGAGUCUUCCUGCAGCUGUUCUGAGUUCUGAGCUCAGUUGGCCCCUCUCUAAGAUGGCUACCAGCCAAUCACCCUCUCAUGGGUGAGGUCUGAACCUGGAUAACUCACCAGCUGCUGCAGUCCAGCGCAUCCACUGCUCUGUUCCACUGAUGCAUUU
ensembl:lncRNA